AAUACAGUCCUGUAUGCAGCUGUUGUGAUUGCAGUCGGAUGUGGAGUUUUAUUUCUUAUCUGCAUCAUCAUGUUCAUGAGGAAGAGAAAAGGAGUCAGGCAAAUGCAGGUUCAACAGCCUUCCAGCUCUGACAGAAACCACUUUGAUGAUGGUCUGUAUGCCAGAGUUUCAGCCAAUAGAACCGAUCAGACCGCAGGAAAAACUCCUGAAUCCACAGAUACUGAGAAGAUCAAGUACACAACCAU